rnacentral:misc_RNA from 1 species
UUAACUUUUUGCUUUUUACUCAGAGACGCCGCUAUAAUACAUGAGAGUUUGUGACCUCCGGCGGGCGCCCCUCGCCCCGGAAGGCGUGGGCUGCGGUCCCCCGAGGGGGCCCCGCGCCGCCGAAGCAACCUGGAUACGUUCGCGAUGGUUUGAAGUUGCCUUUCGGCUUCUUAUAAUGAUCCCUCCGCUGGUUCACCAACGGAGA